rnacentral:rRNA from 1 species
GACGAACGCUGGCGGCGUGCUUAACACAUGCAAGUGGAGCGACGAACCAGGCUUCGGCCUGGGGCAGAGCCGCGAACGGGUGAGUAACACGUGGGUAACGUGCCCCGAUGACCGGGACAACCCGGGGAAACCCGGGCUAAUACCGGAUGUGCUGUCCCACCACCAGUUGGGAUUGGAAAGGAAGCUUCGGCCUCCGCAUCGGGAUCGGCCCGCGGCCCAUUAGCUUGUUGGUGAGGUAAAGGCUCACCAAGGCCGCGAUGGGUAGCUGGUCUGAGAGGGCGAUCAGCCACACUGGGACUGAGACACGGCCCAGACUCCUACGGGAGGCAGCAGUGGGGAAUCUUGCGCAAUGCGCGAAAGCGUGACGCAGCAACGCCGCGUGGGGGAAGAAGGCCUUCGGGUUGUAAACCCCUUUCAGGAGGGACGAAGGUUGGGCGGUGAAUAGCCGACCUGACUGACGGUACCUCCAGAAGAAGCCCCGGCUAACUACGUGCCAGCAGCCGCAGUAAGAC